rnacentral:rRNA from 1 species
CAGUAGCCACGGUAAUACGUAGGGUGCAAGCGUUAAUCGGAAUUACUGGGCGUAAAGCGUGCGCAGGCGGUUUUGUAAGACAGAGGUGAAAUCCCCGGGCUCAACCUGGGAACUGCCUUUGUGACUGCAAGGCUAGAGUACGGCAGAGGGGGAUGGAAUUCCGCGUGUAGCAGUGAAAUGCGUAGAUAUGCGGAGGAACACCGAUGGCGAAGGCAAUCCCCUGGGCCUGUACUGACGCUCAUGCACGAAAGCGUGGGGAGCAAACAGGAUUAGAUACCUUAGUAGUCCCUGUCUCUUAUAC